rnacentral:rRNA from 1 species
CCUACGGGAGGCAGCAGUGAGGAAUAUUGGUCAAUGGACGAAAGUCUGAACCAGCCAUGCCGCGUGCAGGAAGACGGCUCUAUGAGUUGUAAACUUCUUUUGUACAAGGGUAAACCUGAAUACGUGUAUUCAGCUGAAAGUACUGUACGAAUAAGGAUCGGCUAACUCCGUGCCAGCAGCCGCGGUAAUACGGAGGAUCCAAGCGUUAUCCGGAUUUAUUGGGUUUAAAGGGUGCGUAGGCGGAUUGUUAAGUUAGAGGUGAAAUUUCCGGGCUCAACUCGGGAAUUGCCUCUAAUACUGUUGAUCUAGAGAGUAGAUGCGGUAGGCGGAAUGUAUGGUGUAGCGGUGAAAUGCUUAGAGAUCAUACAGAACACCGAUUGCGAAGGCAGCUUACCAAUCUAUAUCUGACGUUGAGGCACGAAAGCGUGGGGAGCAAACAGGAUUAGAUACCCCAGUAGUC